rfam:Schistosoma haematobium scaffold382_18, whole genome shotgun sequence.
AUCCAGCUGAUAAGUCCCAAAUAGGAUGAAAUGCGCUUCAAACAGGAU